rnacentral:miRNA from 1 species
UCAAUUCAACUUUCAUCAGGAUAAUCCAAAAAAUAUGUACGCAUGUGUGUGUGUAUGUAUAUUAUAUAUAAUAUAGUAAUAUAUACAUACAAACACAAAUACAUACACACGUGUGUAUAUAUUUUUUGGAUUAUCCUGAUGAAAGUUGAAUUGA